rnacentral:snoRNA from 1 species
AAGGCUGUGCUUUCUGGGGUCAUUUCUGUAGUUGGUGAGUAGAGAAGGGUAGGUGUUAAAGGCUAGUUUUACUAACCUUGAUGAGGAGCUGUAGUGUUUCCUUCUGAGCAUAAGAGUGGUAGAAAGCACUGUUCUGUAGUAGCUGUUUUCUGCUGUAGAAGAGCAGAAGAAGAGAACGCAGUCUGAGUGGU